rnacentral:rRNA from 1 species
GCUAUCGAGGUUCGACUAAGCCAUGCGAGUCGAAUGUAGCAAUACAUGGCGUACUGCUCAGUAACACGUGGACAACCUACCCCUUGAGUUGGGGGAUAAAACCCGGGAAACUGGGUAUAAUACCCGAUAGUCCUCGGCUGCUGGAAUGCAUCGAGAACGAAAGCUCCGACGCUCAAGGAUGGGUCUGCGGCCUAUCAGGUAGUAGUGGGUGUAGCGUACCUACUAGCCUACGACGGGUACGGGUUGUGAGAGCAAGAGCCCGGAGAUGGAUUCUGAGACACGAAUCCAGGCCCUACGGGGUGCAGCAGGCGCGAAAACUUUACAAUGCUGGAAACAGCGAUAAGGGGACCUCGAGUGCCAGGUUACAAUCUGGCUGUCGUGAUGCCUAAAAGCAUUGCAUAGCAAGGGCCGGGCAAGACCGGUGCCAG